CCUGGACUUUCUUCUGAACUGGCCCACAUCAUUACAGGGGUGCAGCUCUCCAUGCUUCCCUGUGCUUGGUGGGUGAUGUACACUCCAGCCAGCUACAGUCAGCCCUCUAAGCUCAUUGACACUCUGGUGAGGUCAGAAGUAAUCCUGUUCAUUUGGAAUCAUUCCUGGAACCUCUCAGGUGGGGCUCACUUUCCUGCAUGCUUCUCUCAUCAUACCAAAUGAUAUUGCAUCUGCGGAUCCCAACCUAAUCAACGCAAUGAGUACCACCUCAGCAUGCUUCACUUCAGACUGUAUCCAGAGACUUCAGGUUCCAGAUGCUAGCAUGAUGCCAACCAGACUUCCCUGGACAGAGGACCCCAUCAAUGUGUCCUGGAACUCUGCUUCCCCAGAGUCCCACCCUACUAGGGAAAGAGAGAGGCAGGCUGGGAGUAUGGAUUGACCUGUCAAUGGCCAUGUUCAGCAGAGAAGCAAUUACAGAAGCCAGACCUUCCACCUUCUGCUUCCCACAAUGACCUUGGGUCCAUUCUCCCAGUGGAAUAAAGAGUAGGAAAGCAAUCAGGGGAGGGGAUGGGAUACAGAGAGCUGGUGGUGGGAACUGUGUGGAGUUGUACCCAUAUUAUCCUAUGGUUUUGUCAAUGUCUCCUUUUUAUAAAUAAAAAAAAGAAUGUGUUCAACCAGAGCACUGAUCCAUGAACAUUC